CUGCUGUACAGUGUGUGAGUCCAAACCACAUGUGCUCUGGCCCGUACUGUGAAAAUCACCAAACACCUAAGAUGAACUGUAUCCCACUCUAAAUUCAGCUACUUAUUGACCCAUAUUUGACACUUCAUCUCUAGUACACUUACAGCAUCAACAUACAAGACAGUUGUCUACAUGCUGUGCAUUCUGCCUAAGACCACAUGUGAACUGCAAAGAGUACAAAAAAACACUUGAAAAGCAAAUAGUUCUGUCCUCUCUUGCAUAUUCACUCUUGUUCUAA
rnacentral:lncRNA from 1 species